rnacentral:rRNA from 1 species
AGUGAACGCUGGCGGCGUGCUUAACACAUGCAAGUCGAACGAGAACGGGUUAUAGCUUGCUAUAGUUGUCAGCUAAGUGGCGCACGGGUGAGUAAUGUAUAGGUAAUAUGCCUCUUACUAAGGGAUAACAAAUGGAAACGUUUGCUAAUACCUUAUACUCCUUAUUAACAGAAGUUAAUAAGGGAAAGAUUUAUUGGUAAGAGAUUAGCCUGUAUUGUAUCAGUUAGUUGGUGGGGUAAUGGCUUACCAAGACUAUGACACAUAACUGGUUUGAGAGGAUGAUCAGUCACACUGGAACUGAGACACGGUCCAGACUCCUACGGGAGGCAGCAGUGGGGAAUAUUGCACAAUGGACCAAAGUCUGAUGCAGCAACGCCGCGUGGAGGAUGACACAUUUCGGUGCGUAAACUCCUUUUAUAUGAGAAGAUAAUGACGGUAUUAUAUGAAUAAGCACCGGCUAACUCCGUGCCAGCCGCCGCGGUAA